ACCAAGUACAACACUUACGGCGUACUCAGCUAUGUAAGUGUGCUCCUUUUAUACACUCGACGAUUGCGCAGAUAAGCGUCGAUUUAAUAAAACGUAUUUUCCAAAGGCUGAUAUGAUAUCCUUGUAGGUAAUCAAUCAGUACAGCCAAAUGGUAAAAAAUGAGCGGUAGGUGUAAUGGUAGUUGUCAAAGUCGGACAGGGUAUUUUAACGACAAUUUAAUACACGAGCGAGACUAUUUUGAUAAAUUGUACGGGCGGAUCCGUUUGCGGACUUUUAAUGAUGACUCCCGUAACGCUGACGACAUGUAUCUGCACAGCGAUUCAUGGCCCGCCUCUGUGAAAGAGGGAGCGACCAUUCAGCGAUUCCAGCCGCGUCCGCUACAACAUACCGGACAUUGUUGUUUCUUGACUUCGAUUAGCAAUGUAAAUAAAUAGAGACGCUCAAAAACACCUACAAAACCGAUAGUUUCAAAAACUCAUAUACAGUUGCUUCACCUCAAAAAAGGUUCUACCUUUAGUCAUGGUCACAGGGGAUUGUGGGGUGCAACUUUUUCACAAACUCUAUGCAUGCGCAGCGGCGUAACCGAAAAUUCCCUCAUUGCAUCUAGAGGAGCCAUGUCAUUAUAAAGAGACGUAUAACGUGAUCUAACACCAAGCUCGCAAAAUCUGACAGCAAAAAAUACCAACCGCGUUAUCUAAUAAUACAGUAAUACACUUUAGACAACGUUAAUGAAGACAGGACGCGCGCGCAUCGCUUUUGAUUUGUGUUUAGUCUGUUAGAAGCAUGCUGGGGUAGAUGUGUAGGUGAGAAGCUAGGUUAUAUAAUCAAAGAAGAUCAAGCAAACUAGAAUCAAUGGUAAAUUCCUUCUCGUUUUAACUAUGUCACUCCAUUCUUAUGAGGGAAUUCGUGACGGACAAAACAGAAGAUACCGUUUAUUUGCUUUCACCUAGAACUGAUCAAGAAGCUUAGAGAAUCAAUAACGCUAAAUGUCCCAAUUUCCUACGCCAAAUACUUCAACUUAUUCAAUUUAUUGCUUACAUAGGAGUGUUUUGAUGUUGGUUCUGAAUACAUCCAAACAAACACGUGUUUCAGCUACAUCUACAUCAAGUAACACACACAUCACUGUCACUUAGAGAUGUAAAUAAUGAAUAAUAUAAGAGGUGUUUAUGGGCAGGAAAACCAAAAUAGAAUACCUUGGGCUUUACAAAAUUAAUUAGAUUUAUUAAAUUUUUACUUUAGAUUUUGUAAAUAAAGGUGUUCUAUAAGUGUGAUAAGCAGCACCACAUUCCAUCCAUGUUAAUCCUUACAUUGGAAAAUGCGGUACUUAGCGCGAACACUUUCGUAGAAGGCAAAAAUGCAAGGUACAAUUUUAGAAUGAACUUUGGAAUUGUUCCUUUUCCAAACUGAUUGGAGAGCAGUGCAGACUUCCUUGAAUUGGUUUCCAGAUUUCAAUAGCAUUACUUGACACGGACAGGUAAAGAGGUGUGUGUAUGAACGACAUAUGAGAAUAGAGAAAAAAAAUCCACUGGAGAUUCACCAGCAAAUAACAAAAAGGAUGGAAAAAGAAUAAACAUAUAACCAGAAAAAUUAAAUUAAAUCAAUUAAAAAACAAAUGCAUACUCUAUUAGGUGACAUAUGUAUAAAUAUCAUUAUCCUCGCGUUCUAGAUACUCUUUCUCUAGUAGUUUUUCAAUGGCAGUUUUCACAUCAGACACCAAGGGUAUUCCCCG
rnacentral:lncRNA from 1 species